rnacentral:rRNA from 1 species
AUACGUAUGUCGCAAGCGUUAUCCGGAUUUAUUGGGCGUAAAGCGCGUCUAGGCGGCUUAGUAAGUCUGAUGUGAAAAUGCGGGGCUCAACCCCGUAUUGCGUUGGAAACUGCUAAACUAGAGUACUGGAGAGGUAGGCGGAACUACAAGUGUAGAGGUGAAAUUCGUAGAUAUUUGUAGGAAUGCCGAUGGGGAAGCCAGUGUACUGGACAGAUACUGACGCUAAAGCGCGAAAGCGUCGGUAGCAAACAGGAUUAGAUACCCUGGUAGUCCACGCCGUAAACGAUGAUUACUAGGUGUUGGGGGUCGAACCUCAGCGCCCAAGCUAACGCGAUAAGUAAUUCGCCUGGGGAGUACGUACGCAAGUAUGAAACUUAAAGGAAUUGACGGGG